AAAGUGUGCGUUGCCGUCGUUUAUUCUGUGUGGAGACCUGCUCGCGCGCUGAAGGGUUUCCCCUCGCGAAGAAAAGAUUCGCCGCGUGCGUGCGUUCGCGCUUGUGUGGCUGUCGGUGUGUGUGUGUGUUUACAAAUAUAUUUUGCUGCUCCUGUUUUUUUUUUCGCUUGCUGGCGGUGGGCUCGAACUCGGGCCUUUUGGAUAACUGAGAAGUUGCGUUUAGGGGGGCGGUUCGAUUUCGCGAGUUUUUCACGCGAGUGAAAGAUGAUUAUUCGCGAGUAAUCAGCGAGUGCAUCAGUGAAGAUUAUUCUGAAUCGAUGCCGAGCAUAAAAGGUGCCUAUGGAAAAGAAGGGGUGCGUUCUUGUGCUUUGUGUGUUGUAGUGGUUUAUUGGUGAUUUACUAGCCUACUGUGUAUGUGCCAGCGCACGACAAGAGGAAGAGAGUGCUAAGAAGUGUGUGGCGGCGAAGCCUGCUGAGCUCUUAUCGGAGCUGUUUACUCCCAAGUGUGCAUCUCCAAUCUAAAUUCUUGUCAUAAUCGGUCAAACCCAUCAAAAUUUAAGGAAAGCCAAAAUUCACAUAAUUGUCCCAAGUGCAGUUCGCAAGUGCCCCAGGAAGAAAAUCCAGUUGUGCCAGUUGUGUAAUCUUUAAAAAGAAGAAGAAUUUCUCCAAACCCACAAAAUGUCCUCCCGACUCCAACACCCGGAAGAUCUGGAGCUGCUGGGUGCCGCGACAUCCUGCACGUGAAGCGAUCCGAUCCCGUGUGAAUGCCCCUCCGGCGGAAGCGUAAACGCAAAAUCGUCAACUUGAUCCCUCAAUCGGUAGUACCUAGUAGUAGUAGUAGUAGUGCAGUAGUGCAAGGGUAGUAGUGCCAUCGCGACCGCAGUAGUGUUUUAGUGCCCAAAGCUGGAUCGCUUGCAGCGCGUCAUGUUCCUGCUGGGCUGGGCGCUGGCCCUGGGCCUGGUGGACACCACGAGUCCGCUGAGCGUGGUCCAGCAGCCGCAGCAGCAUCACCAGCAUCCGGUUCCGGUACCGGCGGGCGGAAGCUUUCCCGCGUCCGGAAUCGGCAGCCCGAACGGGUUGAUCAUCGAAGAUUCGCCGAUCGCCCCGUCCUCCCAGUACAUCGUAUCGAAGGACCAGUGGAACGGCGGGGGUGCCGCGGCGGCCGCUGCCGGUGCUGCUCACGGUCACGGCCACGGUGGCCACUCGUCGCAGGCCGGCUCCUCGAGCGGAUCCUCCUCCGGUGGUGGUGGUGGUGGUGAGGAGAACCCUCGCCGGUCCCGGCUCGUUCCCGGUCCUAACGAUACGUUCCGUUCUCUUGUCCCAGGGAUGGCCAACGGUGGCGGUGGGGCGGCCUCCGGUGGCUCCUCGGACUCGGCCCAUCCGUUCAGCACCUUCUUCGACAUCUCGCAGUGGACGCUGAUGGAGUGCUUUUCGCUCCGGAGGACCCAACAUCUGUACUACCAGCUGGGGAAUGGGUUGUUCCUGUUGGCGUUCCUGGCGCCGAACGCACCCUUUGGGAUGUUGUGGCUGCGGUGCGUCGUCAUUGCGGGCUGCGUCCUGCUCAUCAUCUGGGGUUGGCAGGUGGAGUGCACCGUCGAUGUGGUCGUGUGGGCGAGUUUGUUCCUGGCGGUGAACGCGAUCUACGUGGGGGCGCUGCUGUGCAAGCUGAGGCCGGUCAAGUUCGAGAAGGAGAUUGAAGCGGUCUACAUCGCACUGUUCAAGCCGCUGCGCGUAUCGCGGCACCAGUUCAAAAAGGUGCUCAACUGCAUGAAGCUGGUGCGGUCGCUCAAGUACCAGGAGAUCUACGCCCAGGAGAAGGUCACCAAGGUGGACAGCCUGUCGCUGGUGCUGUCUGGGAAACUCGUGGUGUCCCAGAACCAGAAAGCACUGCACAUAGUGUUUCCCCAUCAGUUCCUGGACUCACCGGAGUGGUUCGGAGUGUCCACCGAUGAUUACUUUCAGGUGUCCAUAAUGGCGAUGGAGGAAUCGCGCGUCCUCAUCUGGCACCGGGACAAGCUGAAGCUGUCCAUCAUGGCGGAACCCUUUCUGCAGGCCGUGUUCGACCACAUCCUGGGCCGGGACGUCGUCAAGAAGCUGAUGCAGGUGACGCAGGUCAGCGAAACGAUGGCCCAGAGCAACGGGUAUAUCUCGGCCGGGUACGGGGACGACGCCGAGGACAAACCGAUGCUGGUGAUGAAGUCGGGCAAAUCCGGCAGCGACAACGGCGGCCACGGCAUCACGGCCCUCAUUAAUCGGCAGCUGCAGGAAGAAAGUGUGCCCCUACUGCUGAGUGCCAGCCCGACGCCUCUGAUGUCGCUGCACAUGCGCCUGCUGCACUCGACCGAGAACAAGUUCAUCAAGAAGAUCUACGACGUGUGACGGCGGAUUCUGUGGACGGGCCCUCCAAGCCAACGACCCAAUCACCCAACAACCCUUGUCUAGUCGCGCCCCCACGCUGCAAUUUUAUCGUUUUAAGCUUCUUUUUUUCCUUCUUAGUUUUGUAAAUUUUCGAUUAAUUUUUUGAGCGGCUUUUUGAACCGAGCAACGCAACGAAGUCAUCGAAGGGAGGGGCCGUCCACCGAGCACGCAACGAACGAACACACUCCCUCACUCUUUCGAUGUGUUUUUGUUUACCGCCUUCUUUGAUACACUGAUUUUUGCAGCGGACCCGAACGCGUGGCGCCUCGGCCGGAUCGACGAGGCGGACCACGAGACGGCCGUUUAAUAUUAGCCCUGGCGGUGUGCCCCCGACGACGCCCUCUACGGCGGUUCCAUCGGUGGCAUCGAUCCCGACUACGACGAUCCGGAAGAACUGGACGAACUAGGAACCCGGUGUGGCAAGUACCGGCCGCGACGAGUGCCUCCGGUGCCGGUGCCGUUCCCAUCCGGUGGGGACAUCCUGCGGGGCAUCAUCCCGCUGGACGUGGACUGGACCGCGCUGGAGCGGACGCACCGGCAGACGGCGGUUUGAGGUGGAGGAGGUGGAGGAGGAGGGACACCGGCUAGUGUUGCGGCGGGGCAGGAAUUUAGGAUAGAAGAAUAUUUAGGAUUUUAGAAUAUACAUAAAAUGUAGUCAUCGUGUACUAGAGAAAGAAGGAAAGAGGAAUUUGUUCAAAGAAGGUAACAAGAUAGAAGAAGAAGAAGUCUCUUAUUUUCGAAAGCUGUGCUUUUUACUCAAAGAAAAAUUUAACUGUGUAUAAAACUAUUGUGUGUGUUGAGCGAGAACGGAAAACAAAGAAAGGAAGAAUCGUUUUUAGCGCCUAAAAAUAUAAAUUAUAAAAAAAAACUAGCUGAGCGUCGCCGUUUAUAGUUUCUAAAGAUUGUAAUGUUUGUACAGAUUAAAGAUUAAAUUAACAAAAUAAAUGUAACUGUAAAUUUAUAUGAAUUGAAAUAGUCAUAAUCGAAAAUAAAAUGUUCAUUUUUUCGACUUCAAUCCCAGCAAAAAAAACUAAGCAGAGAACUUACAAGCGUUUAUACUCCUAGCUAAACGUUCCUAGGUACUGAUAAAUUGUCGUUACUAAUGAUGGGAUAAAGAGGAAAAGCUAACUUGCUGUUGAGUAGAACGGACCAGCGACUGAUUUGCAUUGUUUGAAUGAUAUGAAAGGAAAUAAAUUGAAAAGUUUUACUUGCGUUCCAUACUGA